rnacentral:rRNA from 1 species
AACGAACGCUGGCGGCGCGUCUUAAGCAUGCAAGUCGAACGGCAAGAUUAGUGCUUGCACUAAUCCUAGAGUGGCGGACUGGUGAGUAACGCGUGGGUGACGUACCCUUCUGAUGGGGAUAGCUACUAGAAAUAGUAGAUAAUACCGAAUACGAUUCCGUAAGUUAGAGGUACGGAAUGAAAGGAGCUUCGGCUCCGCGGAAGGAACGGCCCGCGUACCAUUAGCUAGUUGGUGAGGUAACGGCUCACCAAGGCAACGAUAGUUAUCCGGCCUAAGAGGGUGAACGGACACAUUGGGACUGAGAUACGGCCCAGACUCCUACGGGAGGCAGCAGCUAAGAAUAUUCCGCAAUGGAGGAAACUCUGACGGAGCGACGCCGCGUGGAUGAUGAAGGUCGGAAGGUUGUAAAAUCCUUUUAAGCAAGAAGAAUAAACUUUAACAGGGAAUGGUAGAGUGGUGACGGUAUUGCUGAAUAAGCAACGGCUAAUUACGUGU